rnacentral:rRNA from 1 species
UACCAGCACCCCGAGUGGUCGGGACGUUUAUUGGGCCUAAAGCAUCCGUAGCCGGUUCUACAAGUCUUCCGUUAAAUCCACCUGCUUAACAGAUGGGCUGCGGAAGAUACUAUAGAGCUAGGAGGCGGGAGAGGCAAGCGGUACUCGAUGGGUAGGGGUAAAAUCCGUUGAUCCAUUGAAGAUCACCAGUGGCGAAGGCGGCUUGCCAGAACGCGCUCGACGGUGAGGGAUGAAAGCUGGGGGAGCAAACCGG